CUGCCAUGAGGAGGGUACGCGAUUGAGUAAACAUUAUUAAAUUUAAGAUGAUUCCUUAAAUCGUGAUGCGUCACGAUUUUUUUUUCUUGAAAAUUUUGAUUUUGUAUAAUAGUCCUCAACUCCACCGCUGUUAAUCAUAAAUGUGGAUCGGUUAGAACUUAGAAGAGUUAUUGUUGUCGGAAAAUUGUCUAACCCGUCUUGAAGUAACCCCUAAGGCAACUGCUUCUUACACUGUUAUGGAUGAUUCAAACUAUGAGCAUAAGUAGACGUCCAGUGGCAAUCGAGUCACACUAUCAUCACACUCCGACCCCCUUCCUGUUUUUAUGUAUUCCUUAAGUAUAGAAGCACUAUCGGUGUGAAUUGUUGGCGAUUACACUGAUGGUGUUGGAUGGUGUUAUCUACUUUGUUACUGGAGGAUUUUUGGAUAUGUCAUCAUGUCUGGAAAUAUUUUUAAGAAUUGAACUUGUGCAAUUGGACUUACAGCUGUGUUGUCUUUCAUUUCCUAAUGUGCAGAUCUUUUCCUGUCUACUUACUCAAGGACUUUUUAUUUUUGAGGAUUUGAAUUUUUCUAGUGUGCUGGGAAAAUUGUUUAAUUAAUUUCUGAUAUACAUGAUGUUAAAUGCUCAUUAUAAUUAAUGGAUUUGGCUGAUUUACCUGCAAAAGAAGAGAUCCACUAUAGAAAUUCUUUUUCACCAAUUGGGAUUUAGGAAAAUACAAGGAACCUAGUUACUGACUAUAACUUGGGAGAUCAGCUGAAAGUUUUUAUGUGGUACUAUAAACGGUAUUAGAUGGUUACUGUGACUUCAUAGAGAUUGAGUCUUGAGAACAGUUUAUGAGAGAUUUCAAAAUGAUUUUAGUCAAGUAGUCAAUGGGCAGAAUGUCAGGCAAGCAGAUUAUAUGGUACACCCACUUAAUGACUUGAUAGUCAGAAAUAUGUGAUUAAACCUUGAAAAUGCCAGUUAUUAUCUGAGUGACUUCAUAAGGUAAAGGUGAUGUAAAUACUACAUACCAGAGCAGAUUAUUAGAAACGAAAUUGGGGCCUAAUUCCCUACAUCAAGCUAUAGUACCAGGUAUUAAUAUGCAAUCACUUUCUCUACUAUUUAAAUGGCCAGGUUUUAGGCCUUUGAUAUUGGUUCAGUGCAUGUCCAUCGCCUCCCAAUCACUUAAUCAGCCACCUGUGGUUCUGCCAAUGUGCCAACUGUUCAACCACUUCAGCUACCUCGAUAUCACCAUGUUUAAAGCAGCCAUUCUGUUUACCAUCAUUAGUGUUACAAAUAGAAGAGAUAUUAAUUUAAGCUCCUCAGAGGGGAUCAAGACAUAUUCGUGGUCGAGUUAAAAGAUGGCAUGACAACAUUUAUUGACCUUAUCCUAUAGGAAAUUGUGGAUGUGGACGAGGGAGACGUUUACAUAUCAAUGUUCCCAACAUGGUAUGAUCUUGAGCAGAACUGAAGAAAUAAACAAUAAUGAGGAUUGUAUGAUUUAAUUGACUUAAAAAUGUUUAUAUUAAUUAAUGUAAAUA